rnacentral:lncRNA from 1 species
GUUUCCUUGAUUGAGCCAAAUCUGAGUCAAACCUAAUUCUUUAAAUUCACCAAAACCCCCCUCAACGUUUCCUCUAAUGGGUUUCAAUUUGGAUAAAAAUUCAAGAUUAUAUGAUGAUUGUGGCCUUCCAAAGGAGGCCAAAUGAAGUAAGAGGUAGACAUAUUGUUUGUCGCCAAAUCGAGAAGAGCUAAAGAAUCGAUGGUCAUCCAUCAAUUCGCGGAAGAAAAGUUGGCACUGCUUUAAAAGGGUAAGCUUGCAGCCAUUGGAGUUCAGAUGUAAAGAAUCAAAUACUGUAUGUUCGUCCACAGUCUACAAUUACAAGAAAAAAAAUAAGCUUGAGGAGGAACCGAAGGGCCUUCUUUCGGAUCAGCUUGUUGUGGCUUCUUUGAUCUGGCAUGAGGAGCACUGGACGGGCCUCUGUUUGCAUCAUCGGGUUUACGAGCCCAAGAAGGUGACUGCUCAGGUUCGUAACAGUAAUCAUAAAAGAUUUCUUGACCCGCUUCAAUUCGCUCUUUGGCAAAUAUGCUGACAUGAUGAUCUCCUCCCACUUUUAUUAUCUGCACAUAAUGAAUUGGUUUCAGGACGAGUGUUUGGCAUUGAUUGCUUAUUUAAAGUUUGUUUAACACAUAGUCACAUUAUUAAAAUCACUUUAUAGUUUAUAACAC